GUCCGAUGAGGCGCAUGCUGCUCUCGUGCCCUCUGCGAGCUGGAAAUUCGGGAGUCUUGUAGCGGUACGAGCGUGAAGCUGAGCUGAAUUCGACAGCCAUUCGCCAUUACGUGAACCCCUCUGGCUGGUUUGUUUGCCCUUUUGAUACCCUGGAUCCUACUGGAUGAACUGCCUUAUGGAAGCCCUCAUCUGAUGACUCCGCUGAAUCGUCCUGGCCGGUAGAUGGUCGUUGCUGCGGGUGGAUGCUUCUGCUUGCUGGAUGCUAUUAUUGGAUGCUACACCGUUCCAACAGAGCGGUAGGAACAAUUCAAAGGGCCCCAACGAUGCACUUUACUUUUCCCUGAGCUCAGGUGGUUUUCUUUUGGCCAAAGAACCUUAAAGCAUACAUAUUUGCAUUUAUUU